rnacentral:snRNA from 1 species
GAGGACUUGGAACUUCGA